AACGAACGCUGGCGGCAUGCCUAACACAUGCAAGUCGAACGAGACCUUCGGGUCUAGUGGCGCACGGGUGCGUAACGCGUGGGAACCUGCCCUUAGGUUCGGAAUAACUCAGAGAAAUUUGAGCUAAUACCGGAUAAUGUCUUCGGACCAAAGAUUUAUCGCCUUUGGAUGGGCCCGCGUAGGAUUAGCUUGUUGGUGGGGUAAUGGCCUACCAAGGCGACGAUCCUUAGCUGGUCUGAGAGGAUGAUCAGCCACACUGGGACUGAGACACGGCCCAGACUCCUACGGGAGGCAGCAGUGGGGAAUAUUGGACAGUGGGCGAAAGCCUGAUCCAGCAAUGCCGCGUGAGUGAUGAAGGCCUUAGGGUUGUAAAGCUCUUUUACCAGGGAUGAUAAUGACAGUACCUGGAGAAUAAGCUCCGGCUAACUCCGUGCCAGCCGCCGCAGUAACAC
rnacentral:rRNA from 1 species